UAGGAAGUAGUAUAAUUGGAAGUACUGAGAGUUUUGAUCUCUAGGGUAUAGGUUCAAACCCUAUCUUUCUAG
rnacentral:tRNA from 1 species